GUUCACUUUCGACAUCAGCCAACUAAGCAAACACACUUUUGUCAGUCGCAGUACGUUUGUAUAUUUUUGCACCUUCUGCCGCCUCGCAAAACCGAGCCGAGCUUGUCAGAGGAUCUCCCCUUCGCUCCCAAAUGGCCACAAAACACCUCCAGGAGACAUUCGUCAACCAGUCAGCCACACACGCAAACACACUAGCCUCCACUGUGUGUCUGGUCGGCUGCAAAUCUUUGGCGUUUGCAAUUUGGCACGGCGAACAAGAGAGACAAGCUGCUAGGUGCCGGCGCCAAACGUUGCCACCGUUACAGCCACAGUCAGCGAGUUGCGGUUACGGCCACUGCCAGGCCCACGGGCUGGCUGCACGAGAAGACGGCCUCAUUCAGAAAUAGCACAAACUGUACAGUAUGGACGCGGCAGCUGCUGAGUGCGAAAGACAAGCAGACGGACAGAGGAGACGGCGGGAGGCGGCGACAAGCACGUGGGAGACAUGAAAAUAUGCGAGAGAGCAAAGCCAGUGAGAGAGCAAAGCAGAACCUGUGAGAAAUGCAGCAGUGUUUUUCUUUUUUUCUUUUUCAUGCGUUGCUCUGACGACAUGUAUGAAAUCGGGUUGUCAGAAGAUGUUUGCGUAUGCUUAUUAUCUGGCGGGCACACAUGUAACAGCAUCAAAAC